ncrna:unclassified sequences L31-Actinobacteria ribosomal protein leader
AAGGUUCCGGUUCACGCCCGAGCCCACCGCCCUGGCGGGGCGGCGCGGCGCUGACAGCGACCCGGCGACC